UACGUAGGGUGCAAGCGUUAAUCGGAAUUACCGGGCGUAAAGCGUGCGCAGGCGGUGAUGUAAGACAGUUGUGAAAUCCCCGGGCUCAACCUGGGAACUGCAUCUGUGACUGCAUCGCUGGAGUGCGGCAGAGGGGGAUGGAAUUCCGCGUGUAGCAGUGAAAUGCGUAGAUAUGCGGAGGAACACCGAUGGCGAAGGCAAUCCCCUGGGCCUGCACUGACGCUCAUGCACGAAAGCGUGGGGAGCAAACAGG
rnacentral:rRNA from 1 species